rnacentral:rRNA from 1 species
UACGUAGGGUGCAAGCGUUGUCCGGAAUUAUUGGGCGUAAAGAGCUCGUAGGCGGUUUGUCGCGUCGGAUGUGAAACCCCGGGGCUUAACCCCGGGCCUGCAUUCGAUACGGGCUGACUAGAGUUCGGCAGGGGAGACUGGAAUUCCUGGUGUAGCGGUGAAAUGCGCAGAUAUCAGGAAGAACACCGGUGGCGAAGGCGGCUCUCUGGGCCUUACCUGACGCUGAGGAGCGAAAGCGUGGGUAGCGAACAGG